CAUUUUGCUAUCUCUGGGCCACUCUGUCCACUUCUGUACUGAGGAGCAAUUCUGGAGUAUCUGGCAAAGGAGGAAACGACUGAUAACGUGGAUUACUACCUAGAGAAGCAUUUAAACCAGUCCAGAUUUCAAGCCUCUCUCUCAAUUACUUUGGUGAAUUGGUCAUUGGAGAAAAACAAGAGAGGCAUUAAUGAGGGAAGUGCACC
rnacentral:lncRNA from 11 species